UUCUGUAUUCUAUUGGAAAUAAAUAUGGUACUUAUCCAUACUACCUUCUAUCUCCUACCACUCUGCUAUUCUGCAAUGGCAGGUAGCUACUAAACCACUUGGGAAUUCCGCUCUCUUUAAUUUGUCUUAUGACUGCAGGCAGGUCAGACUUUCUUUCCACCACUUUAUUUGCUAUAACUUACUGUAAAAAUUGAUACGCUGUAUACACAAAGGAGUCAGAUAGUUUCAGCUUCAAUUUGUAUCCUGGAACCUACCUGGAAUUUUAUCCUCUGCCAUGUUGGUUGCUGUGCUAAUCCUUGUUACACAGAAACUACAGAUAAGCCUUAGAGGUACCUUGCUUUUACGUAGCUUUUAUGCCUAGCAGCCUGUAUUCACACAGCUGCAGUGAAUUGCGUGCAAGCUCCAGGAAGGAUCGAGAUGCAGGAGCACUGUGCACUUCAGCUCAGCACUGAGGUGUAUCCCACUUCAAUCAAUUUAAAUUCCAUAAAUCAGAGAUUAUGGUUGCUAGGAGCUCAGUGAUACAGUUACAAUUAUAAACCUUUAAAAAUCCUAAAUCUAGCUUUCUGUUACAAAGUAUGGGUAAAUGCGGGUACCCAAAGAAUAAUGUUAAAGAAGCUAGAAGAAACAAAGCUGAUUCUUGCUGAAAUAGCCAGCAAAGACAACUGCAGCCAAAGAAAAGCACCCAUCUGCCCAGGACUGCCAGUCAAGCGGCCUUUCCCAGAAGCAAGUACUUCAAUCAGCCCAGCCUUUUUCCUCACAAUCAUUGCAAGGUAGGCCCAAGGCCACGCUCUUCUCUUUUUUCCACUUGUGGAGUUCUAUUUUGAGAAAAUUGUUACAUCAUCCUUGGCGCAAACAGCUCCUAUCCCAGCUGCACCUGUCACAGGGCUCCAGAGUCAAACUCCUGUCUUACCACAAUUCCCAGUCUAAUGACACACGAAUACGGGUCUGUGCCUUCCUGCCGCAUGAAAGAUGCACGCAGUGCUGCCGCCUCCUGGUCCCACAGCAAGAGCAGCUGGAUAGAAGUCAGCUUCAGCUUAAUUCGAACAUUUCAAAAUGGCACAGUGGAUUUUUUAGAGACCUUUAAUGAAUUUAUGAUACAUACGUUUUAUAUAUAUAUAAUUUUCUAAUCAAUCGUAGGUGCAUUUCAUGGAAUAAAAUGAAAAAAAAAUCUGACAAAUUGAAUGGUUAUUUGAAACAGAAUAGACGGUUUUAUCAAAUGUGUGUGCAUACUUAAAUCUCUCAUAAAGUUAUAUACUGUAUGGGUAAGGGAGACUUAUUCUAGCCAUAUAUGACACAUAUUUAAAAUACAUGUGACAUAAUUCAUAGGCAGUAUUUAAUAUGUAGACUAAUAGCUAGUAUUAAAACAGACUAAUGAAUGCUUGUGAUGUUCUUACAGAAUAUGUUGUUUAACAGCUGCCUCUAUGAUAUUAAGAAGUAGUAUUUAGUAACGAUUCCUCUAUUUUAAAAAAAUGACCUUCCUAAAUUUUGUUUGUAAAAAAGCUGGUAUACACAGACAUAGCAUUUUACUCACUAUUAUUCUAUUUAAUAUCUAUUAGUAUAUAAAGUGUUCUGCCACGUGCAUCUUCCUUACAGUCAAAUAUAAAUGCCGAGGGAUAUCAACUGAUGUCAAUAAUCCUCAAUUGCACACAAAUCAUGACUACUGAUUAGUAAAGCAAUUAUCAUAUUAAAAGAGUUCAACAGGGCUCAACAUACUGUAAAAUUAGAAAUCAGUCAAUAGCACGGCCAUUACAUAGAACAGCAUUGAUUGGAUGUACUGAAUGCUAGCCUUGAUGACAAUUGAUCAGAAUGAACCCUUCUCACAAAGGAGUCCAGUACACUAAUUGAGAAGCCAUCAUUAAAUAGAAUAGAUAAUCAAGAAGGAGAAGGGGGGGAGGAGAAAUGGAUACAAAGCUAAGGUCCUGUAGAGAAACAAUAAAAAGAAAAGAGCCAAGAAGGUCUCUGCCCCUAUACUAGUUCCUGAGAGUACUUUUCCAAAUGCAGAUGAUCUUAAGAAACCCCCACAGGUCAUCUCUGUAAUCUGUUUCAAAGCUAGAGAACAUGUUUGAAAGCACACAAACAAAUGGGUUUUUCACCACAAGCAUUUCCAAAAGCAAAUCAUCCUUAGAGUAUAAAACUUCUGUCUGUGAUGAAUCUGUGACCUAACUUCACUGGUCUACUUGAAAUCAGGCCUCAAACCACACAGCCCUGGAAAGCUGCACAGGCUGCCCUGCUGUUUUCACUGCUGCUCCAAGAAAUGGGUGGUAAAAACAAGACCAUGACAUAUUCUGUAUUACAAUGCCUUCAGCAUUACACUGAAUUUCUAAGUACAAAUGAAACAAACCUCACUGCAUUAUAAUGAAACGUUAAGAAGGAUGUGCAGAAAAGAGUCUUUAGUGACAACUAGAUGGCACUAUUCACAUUACUUUUAAUGCACAUUUCUUAUUAUACAUACUGGGAGUCCCUCAAAACAGAUGCAAAAGGGACUUGAUCAGGUAGUUAGGAAAGAAAGAGGAUCAGCAGGUCAGCUGAAGUCAGAGAGAAGAGCACUGCAGAUGUUCCUAAAGAUAACAGCUGUAGAAAAAACAUUUGGACAACAGAGGAUUAAGAAUUAUGUAGUUACAGCAGUCAGUCUUCACAUGCAAAUGCAUUAAAGGAUUAUGAGUGGUUUUACCAAACUCUGACUUAAUUCUCAGAGUCCAAAAGGUCAUGAAGUUGCUUAUCACUAUGUCUUCUAACCAUUUGUAACAUUUCUCUUGAUAUAAGUAAGAUUUCUCAUGUCUGAGCUAGGCACGGUCUUAAUAAGCAGCAGGCAAUUAGGCAUCCCUUACCCAGUGUUGCCAAACAAAUUAUAGAAAACAAAGUCACACUCAAAAUUUCUGGUCCCUUCUGAUCUUUGAUAACAUGCAUAAAUGUUCUUGGAGGGACAUGGAAUUUAGAGAAGCUGUCUAAAAAACUGGUAAAUUAGGGCAAUGACAGUCAAUUACAUGCAAGCUCACUGGAAAGUUAAUAAGCUUCAAGUUACUUUACACUAUUAGCAGAGCAGCACAAUAUACUUUAAACAUAAAAAGUGAUUAUAUCCAAAUAACCUCUUCUUACUCCAGAGGUUAAAACCCAGAUAACAGAUAACCCAUUACAUAUAAUGUAAAGACGGUUUAUGCUUUCAUCGCAAGUUCUACUUUCCCCCAAGGAAGACUUAGGCAAUAGUAACACGAGCAUCUUAAAAGUUGUUUUCAAGUGACUUCUUUUCAAGCUCCAGUGUUGGAAGCAUACCUGAGGAAGGACAUUUUUUGAGUGCUUGCUCCACUGGGAAAAAAAAAUUACAUAAGAAAUAAGUUGCAGUUUUCCAACUUCCCACUCACAAGUUAUCAUGAGAACAUGAUCUUUUUACUGCCAUCACAUCCUCCUACUGGAGGAGGAGGACAUGCUUGGCUAUGAUCUUUUUGGAAAACAACCAACUCCUCCAUAACGCUAGCACUCUGAGUGCAGUAAACAAUCACAGUAUAAAGUGUCUGCCAAAGGCCACUGCUGACAACUGCAAGUGAAAUACAAAACAUGCAUAGAAUAUCAAGGGAAAGGAGAGGGGGAGACGGAGGGUAGGUUAAAAAGCAACUAUAAAAACAAGAAACAUUUCUUCUAAGCAAGGUAAGAAAGUCUCCAUAUGAAGUCAGGCUGGAAUUCACACCUCAGCUAUCACUGAGAAGUUGUUGGGUUCAAUGCUUGCUUUGAAUGUCACUGUCUGCAUAAAAAAGUACCUCUUUGACAAACUGUUUAGCUUUUUCUUGCCGAGAUAGCCAAAAGAUGGCAGAGAAAACAGACACACACACACACACGCCCACUCCUUCCACAGCUGAACAAGUGAUGUGUAAUACUUGCAGAUUCAGACAUCCAAGACGAAUUAUAACUGUAACAAGGAUGACAGAUCCAACAGCUCUUCUCUUAGUGAGCUGGAAAGCAUUGCAUGACAGGUAGAGAGGGACAUCAUCUCCUAUUGUCUUCUAAAAACAGAACCCAAAUGAGAAAAUUUAUAUUUCAACAAUUCUGAUCUCACCAUCUCUUUCCCUCUCUGUCCUUUCUUUUUGCCCAUUCUGUCUCCCCUUCCAAUUCUGAGCAAGAUGAAGUGACAUAGUAAAGUAGAAGCCAUAGGCCCAAUACUUAUUUUAGCCCUUCACAUAGAACUACAAUCUCUGUUAGUGCCUUAAAGACAUCUGCCACACAGAAAAAGUAUUUUCAAUUUUAAACUCUGGCACACCGAAGAGAUUUAAGAAGUAUCAUUUAAGAUGUAAGAAGUAAUAAUUACAACAGAACAUAAUGGAAGCCAUGACAUAGAUUUUCUUUAAUUUGUACAAUGCAUACAGACAGACACAGGAUGGGAUAUAGGAAAAUCAGAAGACAAAAUAUAAAUUUUAAAAUAUAUUUUUCCACACCACUGUCCUUGGCUUUCACCAACUGAUCCUCAUGUCACGCAAGCA
ensembl:lncRNA